UACGUAGGGUGCGACCGUUAAUCGGAAUUACUGGGCGUAAAGCGUGCGCAGGCGGCUUUGCAAGACAGAUGUGAAAUCCCCGGGCUCAACCUGGGAACUGCAUUUGUGACUGCAAGGCUAGAGUAUGGCAGAGGGGGAUGGAAUUCCGCGUGUAGCAGUGAAAUGCGUAGAUAUGAGGAGGAACACCAAUGGCGAAGGCAAUACCCUGGGCCUGUACUGACGCUCAUGCACGAAAGCGUGGGGAGCAAACAGG
rnacentral:rRNA from 1 species